rnacentral:rRNA from 1 species
GAUGAACGCUGGCGGCGCGCCUAAUACAUGCAAGUCGAGCGAACGGACGAGAAGCUUGCUUCUCUGAUGUUAGCGGCGGACGGGUAAGUAACACGUGGAUAACCUACCUAUAAGACUGGGAUAACUUCGGGAAACCGUAGCUAAUACCGGAUAAUAUUUUGAACCGCAUGGUUCAAAAGUGAAAGACGGUCUUGCUGUCACUUAUAGAUGGAUCCGCGCUGCAUUAGCUAGUUGGUAAGGUAACGGCUUACCAAGGCAACGAUGCAUAGCCGACCUGAGAGGGUGAUCGGCCACACUGGAACUGAGACACGGUCCAGACUCCUACGGGAGGCAGCAGUAGGGAAUCUUCCGCAAUGGGCGAAAGCCUGACGGAGCAACGCCGCGUGAGUGAUGAAGGUCUUCGGAUCGUAAAACUCUGUUAUUAGGGAAGAACAUAUGUGUAAGUAACUGUGCACAUCUUGACGGUACCUAAUCAGAAAGCCACGGCUAACUACGUG